rnacentral:rRNA from 1 species
UGGGGAAUAUUGCACAAUGGGCGCAAGCCUGAUGCAGCAACGCCGCGUGAGCGAUGAAGGUCUUCGGAUCGUAAAGUUCUGUUGCAGGGGAAGAUAAUGACGGUACCCUGUGAGGAAGCCCCGGCUAACUACGUGCCAGCAGCCGCGGUAAUACGUAGGGGGCUAGCGUUAUCCGGAUUUACUGGGCGUAAAGGGUGCGUAGGUGGUCUUUCAAGUCGGUGGUUAAAGGCUACGGCUCAACCGUAGUUAGCCUCCGAAACUGGAAGACUUGAGUGCAGGAGAGGAAAGUGGAAUUCCCAGUGUAGCGGUGAAAUGCGUAGAUAUUGGGAGGAACACCAGUAGCGAAGGCGGCUUUCUGGACUGCAACUGACACUGAGGCACGAAAGCGUGGGUAGCAAACAGG